AAUACAUGCAAGUAGAACGCUGAAGGAGGAGCUUGCUUCUCUGGAUGAGUUGCGAACGGGUGAGUAACGCGUAGGUAACCUGCCUGGUAGCGGGGGAUAACUAUUGGAAACGAUAGCUAAUACCGCAUAAUAGUAGAUGUUGCAUGACAUUUGCUUAAAAGGUGCAAUUGCAUCACUACCAGAUGGACCUGCGUUGUAUUAGCUAGUUGGUGGGGUAACGGCUCACCAAGGCGACGAUACAUAGCCGACCUGAGAGGGUGAUCGGCCACACUGGGACUGAGACACGGCCCAGACUCCGACGGGAGGCAGCAGUAGGGAAUCUUCGGCAAUGGACGGAAGUCUGACCGAGCAACGCCGCGUGAGUGAAGAAGGUUUUCGGAUCGUAAAGCUCUGUUGUAAGAGAAGAACGAGUGUGAGAGUGGAAAGUUCACACUGUGACGGUAUCUUACCAGAAAGGGACGGCUAACUACGUGCCAGCAGCCGCGGUAAUACGUAGGUCCCGAGCGUUGUCCGGAUUUAUUGGGCGUAAAGCGAGCGCAGGCGGUUAGAUAAGUCUGAAGUUAAAGGCUGUGGCUUAACCAUAGUACGCUUUGGAAACUGUUUAACUUGAGUGCAAGAGGGGAGAGUGGAAUUCCAUGUGUAGCGGUGAAAUGCGUAGAUAUAUGGAGGAACACCGGUGGCGAAAGCGGCUCUCUGGCUUGUAACUGACGCUGAGGCUCGAAAGCGUGGGGAGCAAACAGGAUUAGAUACCCUGGUAGUCCACGCCGUAAACGAUGAGUGCUAGGUGUUAGACCCUUUCCGGGGUUUAGUGCCGCAGCUAACGCAUUAAGCACUCCGCCUGGGGAGUACGACCGCAAGGUUGAAACUCAAAGGAAUUGACGGGGGCCCGCACA
rnacentral:rRNA from 1 species